GCAAGCGGCCAAGCGAAAGCGUUAAGUAUUCCACCUGGGGAGUACGCCGGCAACGGUGAAACUCAAAGGAAUUGACGGGGGCCCGCACAAGCGGAGGAACAUGUGGUUUAAUUCGAUGAUACGCGAGGAACCUUACCCGGGCUUAAAUUGCAGAUGAAUUACGGUGAAAGCCGUAAGCCGCAAGGCAUCUGUGAAGGUGCUGCAUGGUUGUCGUCAGCUCGUGCCGUGAGGUGUCGGCUUAAGUGCCAUAACGAGCGCAACCCUUGUUGUCAGUUACUAACAGGUUCCGCUGAGGACUCUGACAAGACUGCCAUCGUAAGAUGUGAGGAAGGUGGGGAUGACGUCAAAUCAGCACGGCCCUUACGUCCGGGGCUACACACGUGUUACAAUGGGGGGUACAGAGGGCCGCUACCACGCGAGUGGAUGCCAAUCCCCAAAACCUCUCUCAGUUCGGACUGGAGUCUGCAACCCGACUCCACGAAGCUGGAUUCGCUAGUAAUCGCGCAUCAGCCACGGCGCGGUGAAUACGUUCCCGGGCCUUGUACACACCGCCCGUCAAGCCAUGGGAGCCGGGGGUACCUGAAGUGCGUAACCGCGAGGAGCGCCCUAGGGUAAAACUGGUGACUGGGGCUAAGUCGUAACAAGGUAGCCGUACCGGAAGGUGCGGCUGGAACACCUCCUUUCUGGAG
rnacentral:rRNA from 1 species